rnacentral:rRNA from 1 species
GGAUGCAAUCGCCUUGUAAUUAGUUCUGAUAAUUUGGAGGUUAUCAAAACUAUGAAUAAUGGCGGACGGUCAGCCGGAGCGGCGGCGGCAAUUUUUGAUGAUUGCUAUUUUUUAGCAUGUGAUUUUUCUAUAUCUUGGUUUCAUUGUAAUAGGGAAGCCAAUAAGAUUACGCACGAGAUUGCUAGGUUGGCUAGAUUUUCUUCUGCAGUUGAUUGGUUUGAGGAGCCUAUGAUCGAAACUGUACCUUUCCUCAGAAACGAUGUGUCUGUUAUUUUGGUUGAAUAA